GUAGGGUGCAAGCGUUAAUCGGAAUUACUGGGCGUAAAGCGUGCGCAGGCGGUUUUGUAAGUCUGUCGUGAAAGCCCCGGGCUUAACCUGGGAAUUGCGAUGGAGACUGCAAGGCUUGAAUCUGGCAGAGGGGGUAGAAUUCCACGUGUAGCAGUGAAAUGCGUAGAGAUGUGGAGGAACACCGAUGGCGAAGGCAGCCCCCUGGGUCAAGAUUGACGCUCAUGCACGAAAGCGUGGGGGGGAGCAAACAGGAUUAGAUACCCUGGUAGUCCACGCCCUAAACGAUGUCUACUAUUGUGGGUCUUAAUUGACUUGGUAACGCAGCUAACGCGUGAAGUAGACCGCCUGGGAGUACGGUCGCAAGAUUA
rnacentral:rRNA from 1 species